CCUCAUCCCGUGGGUUGAGCGAUGCCUUUGUGUUCCGCACCUCUAUGCGCAUCACAACCUACUUGAUUGAGGGG
rnacentral:pre_miRNA from 1 species